GGGCCCGCACAAGCGGUGGAGCAUGUGGUUUAAUUCGAUGAUACGCGAGGAACCUUACCAGGGCUUAAAUGUAAGUUGCAUAGAUCAGAGAUGGUCUUUUCUUCGGACUACUUACAAGGUGCUGCAUGGUUGUCGUCAGCUCGUGCCGUGAGGUGUCAGGUUAAGUCCUAUAACGAGCGCAACCCCUGUCGUUAGUUACCAGCAAGUAAUGUUGGGUACUCUAGUGAGACUGCCGGUGCAAACCGUGAGGAAGGUGGGGAUGACGUCAAAUCAUCACGGCCCUUACGUCCUGGGCUACACACGUGCUACAAUGGCCGGUACAGAGAGCAGCCACUACGCGAGUAGGAGCGAAUCUUCAAAGCCGGUCUCAGUUCGGAUAGGAGUCUGCAACUCGACUCCUUGAAGUUGGAGUC
rnacentral:rRNA from 1 species